GAGACAGGUGAGUCAUCGAAUCUUUGAACGCACAUUGCGCCCGCCAGCAUUCUGGCGGGCAUGCCUGUUCGAGCGUCAUUUCAACCCUCGACUUCCCUUUGGGGAAAUCGGCGUUGGGGACCGGCCGUAUACCGCCGGCCCCGAAAUGAAGUGGCGGCCCGUCCGCGGCGACCUCUGCGUAGUAAUCCAACUCGCACCGGAACCCCGACGUGGCCACGCCGUAAAACCCCCGACUUCUGAACGUUGACCUCGGAUCAGGUAGGAAUACCCGCUGAACUUAAGCAUAUCAAUAAGCGGAGG
rnacentral:misc_RNA from 1 species